AUGUAAGAUCAUUAUUACAGAUGGAACUAUAUACAUGUGAAGGCAAUGGAACAGCCUUGUUAUCAGACAAAAUGUCAUCAUUACAAGAAGCAGAUAAAGGACAAACAGAAGUAGAGGAACAACUAACAGAGGAAGAAAUCAAGUUGUGUUUAAAAGAAGGAACCAGCAGUACAUUGUGAAGGGUGAUGGAAGGAGUCAAUGCAAAAGAGCCUGUACAUGUUACUCUCACUUUAUAGUCAUUAGGAAGAGUGACAAGAUAUGGCAGAGUUAAAGGUGUGAUGUUAAAAAGUAACUGUUUA
rnacentral:lncRNA from 1 species